ACACGACUACAUUAGAUACCCUGUAGUCCUAGGCGUAAAUGAUGCGAGUUAAGUNUGGGGCAUCUACGAGAUGGCCCUGUGCUGUAGGGUAGCCGUUAAACUCGCUGCCUGGGAGUACGGUCGCAAGGCUGAAACUUAAAGGAAUUGGCGGGGAGCACCACAAGAGGUGGAGGCUGCGGUUCAAUUGGACUCAACGCCGGAAACUCAUCGGGAGCGACAGCAGUAUGAUUGCCAGGUUGAUGACCUUGCUUGACAAGCUG
rnacentral:rRNA from 1 species